rnacentral:rRNA from 1 species
AUUGAACGCUGGCGGCAGGCCUAACACAUGCAAGUCGAGCGGAUGAAGGGAGCUUGCUCCUGGAUUCAGCGGCGGACGGGUGAGUAAUGCCUAGGAAUCUGCCUGGUAGUGGGGGAUAACGUCCGGAAACGGGCGCUAAUACCGCAUACGUCCUGAGGGAGAAAGUGGGGGAUCUUCGGACCUCACGCUAUCAGAUGAGCCGAGGUCGGAUUAGCUAGUUGGUGGGGUAAAGGCCUACCAAGGCGACGAUCCGUAGCUGGUCUGAGAGGAUGAUCAGUCACACUGGAACUGAGACACGGUCCAGACUCCUACGGGAGGCAGCAGUGGGGAAUAUUGGACAAUGGGCGAAAGCCUGAUCCAGCCAUGCCGCGUGUGUGAAGAAGGUCUUCGGAUUGUAAAGCACUUUAAGUUGGGAGGAAGGGCAGUAAGUUAAUACCUUGCUGUUUUGACGGUACCAACAGAAUAAGCACCGGCUAACUUCGUG